rnacentral:rRNA from 1 species
GACGAACGCUGGCGGCGUGCUUAACACAUGCAAGUCGAGCGGUAAGGCCCUUUCGGGGGUACGACGAGCGGCGAACGGGUGAGUAACACGUGGGUGACCUGCCCUCAGCUCUGGGAUAAGCCUGGGAAACCGGGUCUAAUACUGGAUAUGACUCCAUGACGCAUGUUGUGGGGUGGAAAGCCUUGUGCGGCUGAGGAUGGGCCCGCGGCCUAUCAGCUUGUUGGUGGGGUGANGGCCUACCAAGGCGACGACGGGUAGCCGGCCUGAGAGGGCGACCGGCCACACUGGGACUGAGACACGGCCCAGACUCCUACGGGAGGCAGCAGUGGGGAAUCUUGCGCAAUGGGCGAAAGCCUGACGCAGCGAUGCCGCGUGUGUGAAGAAGGCCUGCGGGGUUGUAAAAGCACUUUCAGUAGGGAAGAAAAGCCGAGUGCUAAUAUCACUCGGUCUUGACGUUACUUACAGAAGAAGCACCGGCUAACUCCGUGCCAGCAGCCG